UGCAGUCGAGCGAAUGGAUUAAGAGCUUGCUCUUAUGAAGUUAGCGGCGGACGGGUGAGUAACACGUGGGUAACCUGCCCAUAAGACUGGGAUAACUCCGGGAAACCGGGGCUAAUACCGGAUAACAUUUUGAACCGCAGGGUUCGAAAUUGAAAGGCGGCUUCGGCUGUCACUUAUGGAUGGACCCGCGUCGCAUUAGCUAGUUGGUGAGGUAACGGCUCACCAAGGCAACGAUGCGUAGCCGACCUGAGAGGGUGAUCGGCCACACUGGGACUGAGACACGGCCCAGACUCCUACGGGAGGCAGCAGUAGGGAAUCUUCCGCAAUGGACGAAAGUCUGACGGAGCAACGCCGCGUGAGUGAUGAAGGCUUUCGGGUCGUAAAACUCUGUUGUUAGGGAAGAACAAGUGCUAGUUGAAUAAGCUGGCACCUUGACGGUACCUAACCAGAAAGCCACGGCUAACUACGUGCCAGCAGCCGCGGUAAUACGUAGGUGGCAAGCGUUAUCCGGAAUUAUUGGGCGUAAAGCGCGCGCAGGUGGUUUCUUAAGUCUGAUGUGAAAGCCCACGGCUCAACCGUGGAGGGUCAUUGGAAACUGGGAGACUUGAGUGCAGAAGAGGAAAGUGGAAUUC
rnacentral:rRNA from 2 species